UUCUUGUAAUUCAAUCUACUCCUUUGUACUUUUAUGCCGUGGAUUAAUCAAAGAAAGAUUUGUUUGAAGUAAAAUAAUACUUGUCAUACAUAUAUAUAGGUUGAAACAAUCCUAAUCCUAAUAAAAAAUGAUUAGAUUCGAGUUCAUAUAAUCCUAAUAGGUCUCGUAUUAAUCAUUAAUUUUCUCGGGCCAAUAAUUAUAAUAUACAAUAAGCCUAUUUAAAAAUGUGAGUGGGUGGGCCUUUACGAAAGCCCAAACAAAUAAAAAAAGAAGUGAGUGGGUGAGCCCUUACGAAAGCCCAAACAAAUAAAUUAAAAAAAAAGUGAGGGUGGGCCUUUAUUUCAGCCCGUUAUCAUUUGAGCCCAAUAAAUUAAGGUGGGUCUGAUCAACGACGGCCCACACCCACACCUUAUAAAGUAUCUAGUCGAAAUCCGAUUUCAAAUCAUNUACCCAGAUCUCAUACCCAUAUCUCAUGAACCAAUUAGACUCUAAUGCAUAGAGUUUAAUAUCGAUUAGGUCUUAACACAUAUACUUAGGGCCUAAUCAACCUCAAAUACAACUAAAUCCUAAUACAUAUACUUAGGAUUCAAUAAACCGAGAUACGAUCCAUCUCAUCCAAUC
rnacentral:lncRNA from 1 species